GUGUCAGCCGCCGCGGUAAUACGUAGGUGGCAAGCGUUGUCCGGAAUUAUUGGGCGUAAAGGGCUCGCAGGCGGUUCCUUAAGUCUGAUGUGAAAGCCCCCGGCUCAACCGGGGAGGGUCAUUGGAAACUGGGGAACUUGAGUGCAGAAGAGGAGAGUGGAAUUCCAUGUGUAGCGGUGAAAUGCGUAGAUAUAUGGAGGAACACCAGUGGCGAAGGCGGCUCUCUGGUCUGUAACUGACGCUGAGGCUCGAAAGCGUGGGGAGCGAACAGGAUUAGAAACCCGUGUAGUCC
rnacentral:rRNA from 1 species